UCAUAAGAAUAUAACCAGGCUCAUUCAUUUAUAUGUAAUCUAUAGACGCUUUCAUGCUACAACAGCAGAAUUGAGUAGUUAUGACAGAGAUCAUAUGACCUCCAAACUGAAAAUAUUUGCUCUGUGGCUCUUUACAGGAAAAGUUUGCUGACUUCU